UUUUUAAAUAAUAUAAAUGAACCCCGGCUUCCCUGGCUAGUUUUCAGAGGCUGCCGAGUCGCCGUUGCGCCUGCGCCUGGCCUAGCAGAACUCCCAGCUGCGCGCUCCGCUCUUGCGCAGCCAUGCCAGGGGGACCUCAGGAAGCGAUUCAGUCCCUUCAGCCUGCAGGAAGUGGACGGGCAGCCGCAGCACUCGCUGCCUGUCACCUACGCCAGGGCGGCGGUGGACGAGCUGUGCAAAAUGCUGACGCCCACCUAGGUUAACAGACCCUCCAGCAUUUCAUGGGAUGAUCUUGAUUAAAGGAAACUCUACACCUUCGUCCUAACAGACCCCGAUGCUCCCGGCAGGAAAGAGCCCCAGUACACAGAAUGGCGUCAUUUCCUGGUGGUCAACAUGAAGGGCAAUGACAUCAGCAGUGGCACAGUCCUCUCCAUUACGUGGGCUCGGGGCCUCCGGAGGGCACAGGCCUCCACCGCUAUGCCUGCCUGGUUUACAAGCGGGACAGGCUGCUGAAAUGUGACCAGCCCAUCCUCAGCAAUGGAUCUGGAGGCCACGGUGGCAAAUUCAAAACGGCAUCCUUCGGUCAAAAGUACGAGCUCUGCCGGCUCAGGGCCCCAGUGGCCAACAAGCAUUACCAGGCUGAGUGGGAUGACUUUGUGCCCAAAGUGCACUGCACGAGCAGCUGUCUGGGAAGUAGGGGGCAGCUCAGGGACCUGAACUGUCCCAGAGGCCCCAAGCCCUGUUCUCCAGUUCAGUGUUGCAUGUAUAAUAGAUUUCUCCUCUUCCGGCUGUCCUUUGCACAGGCAAGACAUGAGCAGUCAGAUGGUUUAGGGUAACUUUUUCUGCUACCUGGCCUUUAUAAUUCUAGUCACUCACUCACUCUGGUGUAUGUUUUGAUCAAAGUGGAACUCUAUUUUGAGGAAUAUUUUGGUACUGUGAUGGGGUCAUCAAAUUAAUAUGAAAGUAGCAAUGCAGAGUUUAAAGAAGAAAAAGCUGGGGGAAAAAAGACCAAGCCUACAGUAAUAGAGCAAAGCAUCAAAGAAUCUUUAAGGGAGGUUACCCACGCGCCACCCCCCCCAAAAAAAAAAUAAAGGAAAAAGGAUUGGUUGCCUCUCUGCCUUUCUCAUCCUGAGACCAGAAUUGUACUCAGCGUGUUUUUAUGGUGCUGUCGCUGACCUAGAAAACCAGAGGCUGACUGGCAUGGAGGCUAAACCCCAACACGGUGCAUCUCAGAUGCCUUAAUAGGCAUCAGUAUCUUGCUCUGGACCCUUUAAAAAGCAAUCCUGGAAAAAGCAUUAGGGAGAGUGGCUUUGCUGUUGUUGGGGCAUGGCCAUCUAAACUGGCAGCAGUGCUCAUUGACAGCUUAUUAGGAAUCCUUACAACUAUAGUUGUUAAAUUGAUAGCUCUUCAUGGGGGUAAGAAAAGCUGAUCUGGAGUUGUUGAAUGUUGGGUUAAUUCUGCUGUUUGCUUAUAAUUGAAUAAAAAUAGAAAUGUUGAGUGAACAAGAUCAAAAAGUUCUAUAAAUGGUAGUAAUUACUGUUAUUGUUACCACCAUCUAGAUUAUCACCUUCAGGCAUUUUGACUUUUUAAUUUGAUUUGUCCUUCUUAAAGGCACUGGUGAAAUCAGCAUCUCUUGUAUCCUACACAGUAGUUAGUUUAUAGAAGGACAAUAAAAAUUUUUGGAUUUACUCUUAGUAUAGUUUGUGCCUAUGGUUCCACAGUAAAAAUACUUUGAGCAAUAUAAUUUUGAAACUCACUGUAAGAUAUGUGUAAUUCCUCAUUUCAUAAGAUGGUAUUGCAUUUCCUCUUGGCAUUUUCAUGUGCUUUUGAAUUUUCAUAUGUAUCUACAUUUAUGUUCAUGCAAUAAAGAACAAAAUAUAAAACUGUACCUGAAAAUAUACAUCCCUAUGUGGAAAUAAAGAGCUGGACUUUAUAUUGUCCUCGGAAUGACAUACUUUUGAAUCCUAGCUCAGCCAACUAAGGUCUUAUACAGGUUAAGUGAUAUUUGUGAGGUUUAGUCUCCUUGUUUUUAGAGCCAUAUAAACAUAAAAUCUAGUUUAUAUAUGAGUUGAUAUGAGGAUUAGAUAAAGCAAUAAAUGCAGGAGGCUUUUGCUUGUGCAUAGCUGAGAAAAAUUUGAAUCCACACAGUAUUGUUUAAAUUUAAUCAUUUUGGUCAUACUGUAGCCACAUUACAAUGUGAAAGUGCAAUCGUUUCCUACUUUCUAUGGAAGCAGAGAGGAAGAAUGCUUACCCUAUUCUUAGGGUAAUAAUGGAAGACUCCCCCAAAAUAAGUAAUGUCUAAGUUAAGAAGGAUAUGUUUGAGUGAGGUAGGAAAGGAAAAUGAUGAGUCUUUUAGAAAAACAAAAAUAGCAAUGUGGCCCAACGUUGAGAAUCUAGUACAUUUCAGAAAGUAAAAGUUGUUCUUCCUGGCUGAAAAGCAAGAUGUAAGGUAGAAGGGUGCUAGAAAUCUUUCUGGAAAAUAAAUGUGACGCUGAUAAUGAAGGCCCUCUCUUAUAAACUGAGAAGUUUUAACAUUAUCCUCAGGUGACAGGAAUUAUUAUAGAGCUGUCAGUAGGUGAUUAAUCCCAUUUGUGGAAUGCAGAGCGGAACUUAGGAAUGCAAGGUUGGAGAUGAGGCCAUGUAUCAGCAGGUUGUAAAAUGCUUUUAGAAUUUAAAAUGGACAGCAGAACCACAGGUAAUGUUGGAUAAAUGUUCAUUACAGUUAACACCAGUCUAUCCUUCUGCUUUUUUCACUCAGUGACCACCAAUGGUAGUAAUUUUCAAAAGAGAUUCAGAAAUCCAGUUAUAGAUAAAACUAAGAGGUUAUGCAGGCUGAGCCACCCAUUCUUUUAAUCGGGACACAAAAUCUUAUUUUAUUGUUAAUUAUGAAUAGGGUAAGAAUCUAAAUAUGCCUACCCUCUUGACCUUGAUUUCUGAUUUUUACAUAAAUAUUCUAUGAUCAUGCAACUUGUACUGAGCAAAGAAGAAAAGAAAUCUAAGUUAUGUUUCCAGAUUACAGUAUUUAGUGUGCCCAUUAACUUGAAUACACCUAUCUCAUUCAAUGCUGUAUUUUAUCAUAUUCUUUUUGCACUUCCCUUUGUUCCUUGGAGGAAUUUAAAGAAAUGUUAUCAAAAGCAAGGCUUAUGAGUGAUCAACUCUCAAAAAGAUACCAACUCAAAAUAAAGAUACCAACUCUCAAGAUGUGAUUUUCCAAUGACCUGUCACCUCUGAUUCUAUCUUUGUGCAAGGCAAUGGGAAUGACUACUCUCCCUCCCCCCGGGUUCUGAAUGCCAGGCCUCACUUCACUGAACAGCUCAGAACAAAUCCAGAGCCAUGCAAAGUCUCAGGAACCCGGUUUCUUGGCAUUCAUCCAGAAAAGUACUUCAGAAACCCCUCACUGACUGAUACAGAUCUACCAUCUGUUUCUUAAGUUUAACAAUUGUACAAAGAAAGUUUUUCACAGUUGGAUGAAAAAAAGACAUGGUCUCUUUCAAGUUUGUAUUCAAUUUACUAUUCCUCCUGUUGAUUGGCUGAUUCCCAAAUGUCAAAAGAACACAUAAUGCUUAUGUUGAAUCUACACUAAACUAGUCACCAUUUUAAAACUCAGAAGCACGGUUCCUAAAGACCUUGUAAUGUCCAGUACUACCCUGGGCAUUCAUACAGCGCAUUAAUACUCCAUGUACUGAAUUAAAUAAAACUGGCUUGACUUAGUUAUUAAAACAACAGCAACAUUUACAAGCCCUUUAGCAACAUUUGAAGAGUGGGUCUAAGUAAAAUUAUUCAUUAUUUGUCUGGUUUUCAUUUCAAACAUUUAUUUUACUGAUUUUUAAUCUUAAUGUAAACAUUUUAAUUCCAGAUAGCAUCCAGAGCUUCAAUCUUGAGGUACAGUCUAAGAUAGGAAUGAUAUUUCGGUCUUUGACACAGUUCUACAAUAAUGCUUCCAAUAUUCUCUAGUUAUCUUUUUAAAUGAAAUUAGUAGGUACAACAGAAAUUACUUACCCAUUCCGAGAAUAUAGCUCCUGACCUGAUAAAGCUAGACAGAAAAAGAUGGUUGCCUUUCUUUUAUAAUGAGAAACUCUUCCAGGGAAAAUUGACUCUGUGUUUUCAAAUGAUCAGUUUAUCAGCAUACUUUUAUAAUUCAUGCCCAAUUUAUAGAGAUAUAAAAAUAGUUUUAUGUCUCACAUAUGAUGAAAUUCAGUUCUUGACACAGUAUGUCAUUUCAUGGCAUAAAAUAAAGAACACAUUUGGGUUGAUCAUUCUAUGGGAAAUCUUAGGGAAGGUUUAUAGAUUUAUCACUUUUUGCAUUAUUUUGUCUCUUUAUGAUAAUUUAAUCCAAUAAAACCUAGUCAGGUGGAAGAUCAAACUAAAAUUGGAUGGAUUCUUAUUAUUAUUGAGAUAUUAUCAUUGGCAUAUGCUUUUUAAAAGAAUAAAAGCUAAAUAUUAGUAAUGAAGUAAAGAUAAAGCACAUUUAAUGAGAAAGUUUUGGGGAUUUUUUUCUAUAAUAGAUACAUUUUAUUGUCUAUUACCUCCCUCAGCAAAACUAUAUUUUCUUUUAAAUGUAGAUGUUUGCUUCUCAUCAAUAUUAAUUCUAAGUUGAAAGAAUAUAAUUACUAUUCUAGUAAAAUGUUUAGAACUGAGAAAAAUACAGUCAUUUUUUUCUUUCAAAUUCUUAAAAUCAGGCCUUUGGAGCAAAUAAACAUUUUAGUUAGGUGAAAUUCACAUGCUAUUUUACUGUCAAUAACGUCUCAGAGGAUCAGAAAACUAACAGAGGCAAUGAGCAGUUUCCAAAAGAAAAAGGCAGAAAACCAUCACAAAUCCUAGGGGACUAAAGAUACAUAAGAAAUAAAUGCAACAUGAGGUCCUAGAUUGGAUGCUAUGGCAGGAAAAGAACAAUAUUGGAGAAAUGGGCAAAAUUCAAGUAAAGGUUGUAAUUUUGGUUAAUAGCAUUGUACCAAUGGUUACUUCUUAGUUUUAACAAAUGUACCCUUGGCAAAUGUUAACAUUAGAGGAAACCAAAUGAAGAGUAAAUGGGGACUUUCCUAACUGUCUUUGAAACUUUUCUGUAAAUCUAAAAUUAUUCCCAAAUUGAAAGCUUAUUUUUAAAAGGUUUGUUUGUAACUAGUUCAGCAAAAGAUGAAGCAGAGCAUAGCAUAGAUUCAUUUUGUUUCACUUUAAAAUUGAGUGUUUUUGUGAUUAGGACAUUUUCAUAGCACAUCUUAUAAAUGUUUGCAAUCAUAGCCCCAGUUAUUAUGUUAUAAUUAUAUGUUAUUAUAUAUGUUAUAUAUUAUGUUAUAUAUAUAUAAAAUAUGUAUGCCAUAUAUAUAACAUACUAUUGUAUAUUAUUAUGUUAUUAUUAUAUAGUCAUAAUGCAGAUGAUGAAGGCUACCAUUACUAAAAAGACAGUGUUAUCCAUCCUGACAUUGUAAAAUUGUAAAUUUUCACAAUUGUAAAAUUUCACAUUUAAAAAAUAUAAUAAAGCUUACCUACCUAUAUGCUUAAUACUUGAAACUGCUUUAUAGAAUUGUCAUUCACUAGCUGUGGAUUUAUUAUUAAAUGCCUUCAUUGGACAUGAUCUCAUGAGUCUUUGUGACUGGACAGCAUUCCUUAUCUAACUGAAGUGAUGAGCAUGAGAUGCCGCUCCAAGUGUUGUAAAAAGGAGACACGACCUCUAAGCCAAAGAGGCUGUGUCAUUCUACUGCGUAUGAGGAACAAAUGCAACUACAACAAAGGUCUUCAUUUUAAGAAGAUAAAUCUGGAUUUAGUCAAAAUACAUAAAAUAAUUUGUUUGGAAAACUUUUUGAUUGCUGCUUUAUGGUGUACAAAAUGAACAACAAAUGUCUACUAAUAAAAGUUUGAUUUUAUGGUUUUUAGCCUCCAGAUACAUACAUAAUUCAUCCACAUGGGAAAAAUCAUUACAUUAAAACAAUUUUGGGAGAGAAGUACAUUAUUAAUACUUUAAAAUUUCAAUUUCUUAAAUUUGGUUUGACUUUCUACAACAUACAAGGAAAGUUAAGAAAAAAAAAUCAGAAACCAAAAGGCUUAUUCUACCGCAUUUCUUGGGAAAUUGUCUCACUUUGAGAGUAUAUGAUUCUUUAGUCAUUAAUUACACCUUCUCUAUUUUUCUAGAAGACUGUUUUCCAUAGUAUCACUGGAGGAGCAGUUAAAAUGUACUCUUCCAUUUUUCUGAAUAAUAAACUGAGGGUGGAAUUAUACCUCUGUAAUGGAAAUAACCAAAACAAUAUAUUUGAAUGUAUUGAAAAUAAACACUUUCCUCUUCAUUUACUCAAUAAAUAUUUUCAAAUGACCAUUAUUUGACUGGGCAUGUACACAGCACUUAUUAUGUAUCAAGCAUUAUACUAGGUUAUAUAUACAUAUGUAUAUGUGUAUAUACCAUACACAUUAGCUUCCUCAAUCAUUGUAAUAAUAUGAAGUGUGUAUAAUUAUUACCUCUAUUUUAGAGACAAAGAAAGCACAAUAAGGCACAAUAAAUAACUUGUUUGAAAUCAUUCAGCUUGUGAGUAGCUGAGAAAAAUUUGAAUCCACACAGUAUUGUUUAAAUUUAAUUAUUUUGAUCAUACUGUAGCCACAUUACAAUGUGAAAGUACAAUCGUUUCCUACUUUCUAUGAAAGCAGGGAGGAGGAAUGCUUACCCUAUUCUUAGGGUAAUAAUGGAAGACUCCCCAAACUAAGUAAUGUCUAAGUUAAGAAGGAUAUGUUUGAGUGAGGUAGGAAAGGAAGAUGAUGAGUCUUUUAGAAAAAAAAUAGCAAUGUGGCCCAACGUUGAGAAUCUAGUACAUUUCAGAAAGUAAAAGUUGUUCUUCCUGGCUGAAAAGCAAGAUGUAAGGUAGAAGGGUGCUAGAAAUCUUUCUGGAAAAUAAAUGUGACGCUGAUAAUGAAGGCCCUUUCUUAUAAACUGAGAAGUUUUAACAUUAUCCUCAGGUGACAGGAAUUAUUAUAGAGCCUUCAAUAGGUCGUUAAUCCCAUUUGUGGAAUGCAGAGUGGAACUUAGGAAUGCAAGGUUGGAGAUAAGGCUGUGUAUUAGCAGACUGCAAAAUGCUUUUAGAAUACAGUUAAAAUGGGGCCGUGCACAGUGGCUCAUGCUUGUAAUCCCAGCACUUUGGUAGGACAAGAUGGGUAGAUCACCUGAGAUCAGGAAUU